AUAAAUACAUUAUUAUUAUUAUUACGAUCUCAGGCUGCAGCUCUUUUUAAAUGGAGUUGUGUCAUUGUAGCUGCAUUUCAUGUUUUGACAUACCAUUUUAAUCUGGAGCACCAAAAAUCUGAUUAUGAGGAACUAUUGCACAACUCAAGGUGAUGCUUUGUGAAUAUGGAAUCUACCUGCUUUCUUGCUGAGGUUUAACUGCCCUUUAAGGUGAUGCUUUUACUUCAAGCAAUUUUGAUAUACAAAUGUUGGUAUUUUUAUACAGUUGGGUUGGCUGGAGCAAUCUGGGAGGGGCCACACUGCUUGGGGGUACAGCAGAAGUAUUCAGCAGGGACCCUUCUUGGGGUAAACUGGUUUGCGAAGUCUCCUGCCUCUUAAGCCUGCACACUUGUUCCAGCCCCAGACUUUGGGAGUGCCUGCUGGGACGUUCCAGGUAGUUCUGAUCAGUGGAGAUGAGAACCGCUGCCACAUCAGAUACGGUCUGGGUGCCAGGCUGUACGUGCCAGCCAACCCCAAGAUGCCCCCACGAGUUUAAAUGUGCACCCGACUGGGAGAGAGUGAGUCACGCAGACAUGCUCCUCUGGUGUGCCUGCUUGCAGAGCCAUUU